rnacentral:rRNA from 1 species
UACGGGGGGGGCAAGCGUUGUUCGGAAUUACUGGGCGUAAAGGGCUCGUAGGCGGCCAACUAAGUCGGACGUGAAAUCCCCAGGCUCAACCUGGGAACUGCGUCUGAUACUAUCUGUCUUGAAUACCGUGGAGGUGAGCGGAAUAUGUCAUGUAGCGGUGAAAUGCUUAGAUAUGACAUAGAACACCAAUUGCGAAGGCAGCUCACUACGCGAAUAUUGACAACUG